rnacentral:rRNA from 1 species
ACUCCUACGGGAGGCAGCAGUGGGGAAUAUUGCACAAUGGGGGAAACCCUGAUGCAGCCAUGCCGCGUGUGUGAAGAAGGCCUUCGGGUUGUAAAGCACUUUCAGCGAGGAGGAAAGGGUAGUAAGUUAAUACCUUACAUCUGUGACGUUACUCGCAGAAGAAGCACCGGCUAACUCCGUGCCAGCAGCCGCGGUAAGUACGGAGGGUGCGAGCGUUAAUCGGAAUUACGUGGGCGUAAAGCGUGCGCAGGUCGGUUUGUUAAGCGAGAUGUGAAACGCCCCGGGUCUCAACCGUGGAACCGCAUUUCGAACUGGCAAACUAGAGUCUUGUAGAGGGGUAGAAUUCCAGGUGUAGCGGUGAAAUGCGUAGAGAUCGUGGAGGAAUUACCCGGUGGCGGAACGGCGGUCCCCCUGGACAAAGACUGACGCUCAGGCACG